AUGCUCAUUUACGUGGAUGAUAUCAUACUAGCAAGUUCCUCAACCCGUACUGCCCAAGAACUAAUUGCUGCACUUCGUGAUGCGUUUGCAGUAAAAGAUCUUGGUGAUUUGCAUUACUUUCUGGGGAUAGAAGUGACACGCUCGAGGGACUCAAUUACACUCAAGCAAGCAAAGUAUGCUACUGAUCUGCUAAACAAAGAGGCCAUGAUGAACUGCAAACCAGCGCCGACACCGAUGUGUACUUCAGAGAAGUUAAGCCAAGGCGAAGGAAAGAUACUUUCUGAAAAAGAAACGACGAGGUUCAGAAGUGUUGUCGGGGCAUUGCAGUAUCUGACCCUGUCCAGACCAGACAUUGCUUUUGUGGUGAAUAAGGUAUGCCAGUAUAUGCAUUCGCCCACAGAACUUCACUGGGGCGCUGCAAAACGGAUUCUUCGGUAUAUUAGGGGAACCAUAAACCUUGGACUGAAGAUCAACAAAUCCUCCUCGUCUCUGUUGAGCGCCUUCUCCGACGCGGAUUGGGCAGGAUCGGUGGAUGAUCGGCGCAACACAAGUGGGUUUGUGGUAUUCUAUGGAGGCAACCUGGUGUCUUGGAGUGCAAGGAAGCAGGCGACAGUGUCCCGGUCUUCAACUGAAGCUGAGUACAAGUCGCUGGCAAACGCGACUGCAGAACUCAUUUGGUUUCAGUCAUUGCUCCAGGAACUGGGCGUUAGGCAAGGACAAACGCCGGUAUUGUGGUGCGAUAACCUGGGGGGCACAUACUUAUCAGCUAACCCGGUGUUCCAUGCUCGAACGAAGCACAUUGAAGUCGACUUCCAUUUUGUUCGAGAAAGGGUGGCUGAAAAGGCCUUACAGAUUCGGUUCGUCUCCACUAAAGACCAGUUGGCUGAUGACUGA
rnacentral:rRNA from 1 species